rnacentral:rRNA from 1 species
AUGAAUUUAUCUAUGCAGUUAAUGGACGUAGUGACAACAUACUUGUAUGGGUCACUCAAAUCGGACAUAUAUAUGAAAGUUCCCGAAGGACUUAAAAUGCCGAAUCCUAAAGCAAAUUGCAACGCAUAUUGUGUAAAAUUACGAAAGUCACUCUAUGGCUUAAAACAGUCGGGUAGAAUGUGGUAUAACCGACUGAGUGAGUUUCUUAUUCAGAAAGGAUACUCAAAUAAUGAUGAUUGCCCUUGUGUAUUUAUAAAGAAAUCCUCAAAUGGAUUUUGCAUCAUCUCAGUGUACGUCGAUGAUCUCAAUAUCAUUGGGAGUACACAUGAUAUAAAAGAAGCACGCAAUCAUUUAAUGACGGAAUUUGAGAUGAAAGAUUUGGGAAAGACCAAAUUUUUCUUAGGCAUACAGCUUGAGCAUCUUCCCUCAGGAAUUUUAGUAUACCAACCUGCUUAUAUUCAAAAGGUUUUGGAAAAAUUCAAUAUGGAUAAAUCAUAUCCGACCAAAACACCCAUGGUUGUCAGAUCCCUUGAUAUGAAUAAAGAUCCUUUUAGACCUCGGGAUGAUGACGAAGAGAUAUUAGGACCUGAGUUCCCGUAUCUCAGUGCUAUUGGUGCGCUAAUGUACCUUGCAAAUUGCACCAGGCCUGAUAUUGCAUUUGCGGUAAAUUUACUAGCUAGACAUAGCGCUGCUCCAACAAAACGUCAUUGGACAGGAGUAAAGAAUAUCUUUAGAUAUUUACAUGGCACAAAAGAUCUUGGCUUAUUCUAUCAGAAAAACCAAGAUAUGACUAUGGUAGGAUAUACUGACGUUGGCUAUCUAUCUGAUCCUCACAAUGCUAGGUCACAGACAGGUUUCGUAUUCUUAUAUGGUGGAACUGCUUUUUCAUGGAAGUCACAAAAACAGACUCUCGUAGCAACUUCCACUAAUCAUUCUGAAAUAAUUGCAUUAUUUGAAGCAUCAAAGGAAUGUGUAUGGCUUCGCAGGAUGAUUAACCACAUUCAAACUUCGUGUGGUAUUGGUUCAUUAGGAUCACCAACUAUUAUUUAUGAAGAUAAUGCAGCUUGCAUUGCUCAAAUGCAAAUGGGUUAUAUUAAAAGUAAUAUUACAAAACAUAUUUCUCCUAAAUUGUUCUUUCCACAUUCAUUACAGAAAGAUGGAGAAAUUGAUAUUUUGCAAACCAAAUCAUGUGAUAAUCUAGCAGAUUUGUUCACAAAGUCUUUACCAAAUUCAACAUUCUAG